AUUCUGGACCCCUGCGGAGACCUGGAAUUUUCUUUUUCGCCGCCCCACCUCCCACCACCAUCUCACCCCACCGCCAUGGAGAAGAGGCAGGAAAGGCCGUUGACAAACGGGGACACUGAGGCUCGAACACCCUGCCCUGUCUAGGGCCUCAGCCCUCGGCAGCCCGGCCUCCCGGGGAGCAGGAGGCGCCUUGUGUUUCAGGGUUUCAAAGGACGUCCGCAUCUGGUUUCUCUUUCCAGGCCGCUACAUGCCAGCGGGGGUUCCAGGCAAGGCAGAGGGCUGCCUCCUGCCCCUCCAGCCACCACAGUCCACCCUCCCCAGCAGCCCGAGGGAUCUUUCUAGAAGGCCUGACCAAGCCCUUCCCCUGCCGGGAGCCUCCCAGGCUGUCCUUCGAAUAAAGUCCAGGGCUGCCAUGUGGACUCUGCACACGCCUCCCCCGUCCAACACAGAGCCUCCACCCGGGGAACCCGCUGCCUUCUGGCCUCACUGGGAAACUGCCUUCUCUCGGGCUCAGUUUCCUCAUCUGCAAAGUGACAUCAUGGUCCCCUUCCACCAAGGGCUACCCCACGGCCAGGCACGCAGUAAAUGCAGCAUGAUGUACCCACCCAGGCACGCAAUAAAUGCAGCAUGAUGUACCCAGGGGUGGGGAACAGUGGAUUCAACCCUGAACGUCACCUGACCAAGGCUGCUGGGCCAAGCUGGAACAGAAUCGGAUCCUUGAGUCUGGGAGGCGGAGGCGGUUCGGGAAUGCAGAGGGCGUGAGAGAGAACCAAGGGAGGUGUCCUGGCCGAGUGGUGUUUCCCGCGGGACUUCUCAGAGCCUUCAUCACCUGAUACGCACCUCCACUCUUCCAGGGAGAGGACACACUGCACAGUGGUUCCCAAACUGACUUGCCCACAGGACCCCUGUGGACGGUUGUGGGGCACCACGUCAGCCCCCCUGCAGAGCGUGGAAGGGACGUUGCCCUCCCCACCCCCAAGGCUGCCAUCAACCAAUGCCAUCCCUACUGCCCCCGGCAGGACAGGGAGCUGGAAGCUGUGACACCCCAUUUUAAGGGGCCACCCAUUAAUUAAUUAGGCUCCAUGAAUAAUGCAUGCCACCUUGGGUAUAUUAAUAGCAUAUUUAUAUGGUGUGCUAUGGGGAGUAUACAUUCUCGUCUGAACACCUCACAAAUAAUUCACGACACCGCUCCUUCCCCAGCCUCCAGGAGAUCCUGGCCGGUGCUGCGGCUGGGGCUGGUGGGCUGCUUCCCACAGCCAAAUUUUACAUUUCAUUAUAAAUGGCUUUGCUAGGCAUGUCGGUAACUCGUGCAUUUCCAUCCACUUUAUUAUUAAUGGCUUUGCUGAACUGUAGCAGCCCAACGCCGCGCACAGUGCGUUAUAAAUAUUUGAUCCGGCA
rnacentral:lncRNA from 1 species